rnacentral:lncRNA from 1 species
CGAGAAUGAGCUUGUUGUGACGGUGCUCUGGUUUGUAUGGAAAGCUCGAAACAACUUCAUCUUCAGAGCUAAGCCACCGGAUCCGAACACCAUAGUUGAUAUAGUGCAAGCACAUCUCUAAAACUUCAGUAGAUGGCAGAAGAAAAAGGAGGCAAAGAAACCCACAGAUCUGAACUCGUAGAGAAGAUGGAGACCGUUGGAGAGAGGGUCGAUGAAAUUAAAUGUCGAUUGCUCAUGGGUACAAGGAGAACAUGUCGGAUUGGUAGCCGGAAUACUGCAAGAUCAGACCGGACAAGUCAUCGACGGCUUCAUGCGAGAAGUCCGAGCUUCAU